rnacentral:rRNA from 1 species
UCGGGAAUUUUGGGCAAUGGGCGAAAGCCUGACCCAGCAACGCCGCGUGAAGGAUGAAGUAUUUCGGUAUGUAAACUUCGAAAGAAUAGGAAGAAUAAAUGACGGUACUAUUUAUAAGGUCCGGCUAACUACGUGCCAGCAGCCGCGGUAAUACGUAGGGACCAAGCGUUGUUCGGAUUUACUGGGCGUAAAGGGCGCGUAGGCGGCAAUUCAAGUCAUCUGUGAAAUCUCCGGGCUUAACUCGGAACGGUCAGAUGAUACUGCUUUGCUAGAGUGCAGAAGGGGCAAUCGGAAUUCUUGGUGUAGCGGUGAAAUGCGUAGAUAUCAAGAGGAACACCUGAGGCGAAGGCGGGUUGCUGGGCUGAUACUGACGCUGAAGCGCGAAAGCUAGGGUAGCAAACGGGAUUAGAUACCCGUGUAGUCCCUGAGCGGGCUGGCAAGGCGCAU